rnacentral:tRNA from 6 species
GGCCCCGUGGUCAAGAGGUUAAGACAUCGCCCUUUCACGGCGGAGACAUGGGUUCAAUUCCCGUCGGGGUCACCA